rnacentral:rRNA from 1 species
GUGCCAGCCGCCGCGGUAAUACGUAUGGGGCGAGCGUUGUUCGGAUUUAUUGGGCGUAAAGGGCGUGUAGGCGGCUCAUCAAGUCUGGUGUGAAAACGCAAGGCUUAACCUUGCAUAGGCGCUGGAAACUGGUGGGCUUGAGUUCUUGAGGGGAAGCUGGAAUUCCAGGUGUAGGGGUGAAAUCUGUAGAUAUCUGGAAGAACACCGGUGGCGAAGGCGAGCUUCUAUCAGAGGACUGACGCUGAGGCGCGAAAGCGUGGGGAGCAAACAGGAUUAGAAACCCUCGUAGUCC